CGGACGGGUGAGUAAUGUCUGGGAAACUGCCUGAUGGAGGGGGGUAACUACUGGAAACGGUAGCUAAUACCGCAUAACGUCGCAAGACCAAAGAGGGGGACCUUGGGCCUCUUGCCAUCGGAUGUGCCCAGAUGGGAUUAGCUAGUAGGUGGGGUAAAGGCUCACCUAGGCGACGAUCCCUAGCUGGUCUGAGAGGAUGACCAGCCACACUGGAACUGAGACACGGUCCAG
rnacentral:rRNA from 1 species